rnacentral:RNase_P_RNA from 1 species
GAGGGUCGGAUGACCGCGUGGGCCUUCGGGCCCGCGAGGAAAGUCCGGACUCCAUGAAGUGACGGUGCCGGGUAACGCCCGGCGGGGGCAACCCCAGGGAAAGCGCAACAGAGAAGAGACCGCCCCGGCAGGUCCGGGGCAAGGGUGAAACGGUGGGGUAAGAGCCCACCGCGGGACGGGCAACCGGACCGGCUUGGCAAGCCCCACCGGGAGCAAUGCCGAAUAGGGAUCCCGCGCGGGACGCGCGUCCGAAGGGCGAAAGCCCCAAGGAGACCGCCGCAGGGCAGCUUCGGCCCGAGGGAUCCGGGUUGGCAGCUUGAUCCCGCCGGUAACGGCGGGGCCAGAGGAAUGGUCAUCCGGGGGGCAACCCCUGACAGAAUCCGGCUUACAGACCCUCC